rnacentral:misc_RNA from 1 species
UUGCUGAGGAAUUUUGAAUUGGAGCUGGUGUCUCCUUUUCCUGAGAUUGACUGGAAUGCAAUGGUCGUAGGUGUGAAAGGAAAGGUAAUGGUGCGUUACAAGCGCCGGGAGCUUUCAGUUGCCUAGCGGGAAUAACAGCAUUGUGGAUGUUUUGCAGAUUUAAAAUGUUAUGCUUUCUAGGAUUUGAUUGUGCUUUGAUUUUUUUUUUUUUUUUCCUUUUAUGUUUCUAGGAGGUGCUUCACCCUCCUUCACUGGAUUGUGGCUUUGUCUAGUUUCCAAAAUUUUAUGAUAAUUGAUGUAGUUUGUGGGGAAAAAAA